rnacentral:rRNA from 1 species
UUUUUGCCUCAAUUAUGUAUGAGUACCCGCUGAACUUAAGCAUAUCGUUAAGCGGAGGAAAAGAAACUAAAUAGGAUUUCCGUAGUAACUGCGAGUGAACUGGAAUUAGCCCAUCACGAAAUCUAUAUUACAUUCGUAAUAUCGAAAUGUCGUGUAUAGGUUUUAUUAUUAUUGAUAUAAUAUUAUUAAAUAAUUGUAUUUAAAUAUACAGCCACAGAAGGUGCCAGCCCUGUUGUUUAAUAAUAUUUAUCAAAUUUAUAAAACUUUAGAGUCGUGUUGCUUGGAAGUGCAGCGCAAAGUUGGUGAUAAACAUCAUCUAAGGCUAAAUAUUCCUAUGAAUCCGAUAGCGAACAAGUACUGUGAAGGAAAAUUGCAAAGUACUCCGGAGAGAGAGUUAAAGAGGACGUGAAACCGAUACGAUGGAAGCAUACAGAGCCAGUUGCACUAUUAUUAAUAUUUAUUAAUAAUUUUAAGCAUGGGUAUAUUGAUAUGAUAAUUAGUUAUUUAUUAAAGAGUGAUAAAAAUAUUUUAUUUUUGUUAACUUUAAUAAAAUAAUUAUAUUAUUAAUUAAUAUUUAUAUUAUCAAUUUAUUAAUAAUAUAAUAUUUUAUUAAUAUUAUAUAAGACACAUGUGUUAAAUAUAAUUUAUUAAUAAUUAUUAUAUUAUUAUAUAUUGAUAUUCCUAUGUAAUCCUGGUAUGCUGUAUGUCCCGUCUUGAAACACGGACCAAGGAGUGUAUUGCUAUGGCAAGUCAUUGAUAUUGUUAAUAUCAAAGGCGUAAUGAAAAUAAUUUUAAUCUCUGAUCUUUUGAUUUUAUUAUCAUUAGCGCAUGAGAAACGUAAAUAUAUGAUAUAAUCAUUUUUUGCAGUUAUAGCCAUAGUAGUGCGACCCGAAAGAUGGUGAACUAU